rnacentral:lncRNA from 1 species
CUGCUACACCAGCUGAAUGCCCUGUUGGAACAGGAGUCUAGAUGUCAGCCAAAGGUCUGUGGUUUGAGACUAAUUGAGUCUGCACACGAUAAUGGCCUCAGAAUGACUGCAAGACUAAGGGACUUUGAAGUAAAAGAUCUUCUUAGUCUAACUCAGUUCUUUGGCUUUGACACAGAGACAUUUUCUCUAGCUGUGAAUUUACUGGACAGAUUCCUGUCUAAAAUGAAGGUACAGCCCAAGCACCUUGGGUGUGUUGGACUGAGCUGCUUUUAUUUGGCUGUAAAAUCAAUAGAAGAGGAAAGGAAUGUCCCAUUGGCAACUGACUUGAUCCGAAUAAGUCAAUAUAGGUUUACGGUUUCAGACUUGAUGAGAAUGGAAAAGAUUGUAUUGGAGAAGGUGUGUUGGAAAGUCAAAGCUACUACUGCCUUUCAAUUUCUGCAACUGUAUUAUUCACUCCUUCAAGAGAACUUGCCACUUGAAAGGAGAAAUAGCAUUAAUUUUGAAAGACUAGAAGCUCAACUGAAGGCAUGUCAUUGCAGGAUCAUAUUUUCUAAAGCAAAGCCUUCUGUGUUGGCAUUGUCUAUCAUUGCAUUAGAGAUCCAAGCACAGAAGUGUGUAGAGUUAACAGAAGGAAUAGAAUGUCUUCAGAAACAUUCCAAGAUAAAUGGCAGAGAUCUGACCUUCUGGCAAGAGCUUGUAUCCAAAUGUUUAACUGAAUAUUCAUCAAAUAAGUGUUCCAAACCAAAUGUUCAGAAGUUGAAAUGGAUUGUUUCUGGGCGUACUGCACGGCAAUUGAAGCAUAGCUACUACAGAAUAACUCACCUUCCAACAAUUCCUGAAAUGGUCCCUUAACUGGAUUAUUACAGCACCAAAAAACUUCUCUGAAGCCUUUCUCCACAACCUUGUUCUAUGGAUUCCAUAAUGUUACAAUGGAUUUAAGCUAUGAAGCCUCAAAACAUCACGAGAUAAGCAUGAUGGUCUCAGACUUGGGAAAACUGCCUAAUAUUAUGCUGUAGUGGAAUUAUGUUUAGAUUUGAAUUCAUCUGUGAAGCAUUCAAAUCAAAGCUAAAAGCCUAAAUGUGAAAUGCUAAUGACAAGCCUGAGAAGAAAACAGGUGACAUUUGUAUCUACGAUAAAAAUUUUUAUACAGAACCUACUGCCUCAAACUGAAUCCCAUCAAGAAAACUAGUUUCUAUUGUAUUAGUAACUCAAAAUAAAUUAUCACUUCGAAAACUUGCUUUCCCACACUAAGGUAAGUUCAGACUAGAUUGAACACUCCAGAAUUUUUUACUACAGACUGUUUUUAAGUUAGAAGUGAUGGCAAUUUUAUAAAUAGAGAAUAUACUUCCACUGAUGCCCUUACUGUGCCAAAACAAAAAUCUUAAGAAAAGCAAGUAGACACCUUCAUAACUAUGAAUGAAGCUGCUGAAGUAGUGUUUAGGAUCCUCCAUGGCAGUUAGUGAAUGUAAGAAGUACAGUGUUAAAGUGUUGUAAACAGUUACUCAGUGCAAUGUAUAGCCUGAGUCUAUCCAUGAUGGCUAUAUCCAAUUUGACAUCACGUUAUGGAUCAGUACACAAUGAAAAACCAAAGAACCACAGUAUAUCUUAUUCUUAACUUUUGUAAACCAUGUUUUAUGGGUAACUUUUUAGUUUUCCCAAAAGGCUGAUAAAUUUCAAUAUUUUGAAUACAUCAUUGUUAAUUUUGAGUUGGCAGAGGUAAACUAACCAACUACCAUUAUGUUUUAGUACUAAGGGAUAUACCUUUCAAUAAAGUUAAUGAAAUUC